rnacentral:rRNA from 1 species
UACCCGCUGAACUUAAGCAUAUCAGUAGGGCGGAGGAA